rnacentral:pre_miRNA from 1 species
AGAGAGAGACUGACAGAAGAGAGUGAGCACAUGCAGGCAAUUUGUAUAAGGGUAUACCUAUGCCGGUGCGUGCUCACCUCUCUUUCUGUCAGCUUCAGGUGCU